GACGAACGCUGGCGGCGUGCUUAACACAUGCAAGUCGAACGGUGAACGAGGGAGCUUGCUCCCUCCGGAUCAGUGGCGAACGGGUGAGUAACACGUGAGCAAUCUGCCCCGAACUCUGGGAUAAGCGUUGGAAACGACGUCUAAUACCGGAUACGACGCGGGAGGGCAUCCUCUCCGCGUGGAAAGAACUUCGGUUCGGGAUGAGCUCGCGGCCUAUCAGCUUGUUGGUGAGGUAACGGCUCACCAAGGCGACGACGGGUAGCCGGCCUGAGAGGGUGACCGGCCACACUGGGACUGAGACACGGCCCAGACUCCUACGGGAGGCAGCAGUGGGGAAUAUUGCACAAUGGGCGCAAGCCUGAUGCAACGCCGCGUGAGGGACGACGGCCUUCGGGUUGUAAACCUCUUUUAGCAGGGAAGAAGCGAAAGUGACGGUACCUGCAGAAAAAGCACCGGCUAACUACGUG
rnacentral:rRNA from 1 species